rnacentral:lncRNA from 1 species
GGUACACUAGCACAGCAGAACUUUCUAAGAUGGCGAUAACAAGAAAUUGGUACGAAAAUAUCACAAAAAUUAUUGCAACCCAGCAAGAGAAAACAGAACACUUAAAUAAGAUUCAAAUAGAAAUGAUGAUGAAGGGACUCUAACAGUGUCUAAUCUGUAACUACUUUCAUUCAUAACAUCAGUUUUCUAGUCCAGAAUUAACCAUUAAGUUUUAGACAUGCAAUGCAACCAGCUAACAUAUAUAUACGUAGUACAUGCAUGUAAUGCAGCGCAGAUUAUAGGUUUUUUUUUUUUUGAGGAAACAUGAGGGGUUUGAUCCCCUACUGAAAUUUAUUGAUAACCCUGGAAACAAAGUGAAUUAGAUUGUCCUUUCUAUUUUGAAAAACUGUAUUGUAUCUUGAUACUUCUAUAACUGGUUUACUAAUGAUCAUACCUUAUUUUGUAAUGGAGGGCAAAAAUUAAUAUGGGGAAAACUUGAAAAGCAUAUAUUUUAAGCAUUGUACUGAAAAAUCAUUUGCUAUUGUUUUCCUUAUUUGCAUUUUAUCUACCCUAUUUUGCUCCAUAUAUAUAUAUAGAAGGCAAGAAUAGUGUUGCUACCAUAUAGAAAUAUAGAAGCGAAAAGCAGCGUUGGUUGUUAUCUUACAAAUGUUAAGUGUACCCAUAAAAUUGAGAACAUUGAGAACUGUUUCAUUGACCCUUUCACAUUUGAUCUUGACUAUCUUAAGGUGUUGUGAUAUCUUAGUCGAGUCCUCUGUUGCAUGAAGGUGUCCUUUCAUUUCCAUUUUGUAAUUGCAUCUAACCUGGGGUCAACAAAAUGCGGUCACAGAUUAGAUUAACCAAAAAUAGUGUACUAUAUAACUGUGCAAUGAAAUAUUGGUUUUCCACUCAGAAAAUCUCGUACCUGCUGAGAAAAUUCAAUAGUGAGCUUCUCUAGUACUGGUGCAUGUUCAAGAAUGCAUGCUAGUGGAGUGCAGUCAACAGGUUUGCACCAGUGAUCAUUCAGUAUCAGGGUUUUCAAUUUGUGAAAUGUGGGGCACCGUCUCAAAUCAUACUGCACAGAUUGCGAAAGUCAAAAUAAAAACCACUGUAGACACGAGAAUUCAUCUUCAUAUGAAGACAGCAAAUCAGACAUGAAGAUGGUGACUCCCCAAACCUCAUCUAGUUGAGAAUCAUGCAUGAUUGCCAACUAUGAAUUAGAACAAGAAAAAUAAAGGUAACAGGAUAUACAGGCAACUAUAUAUAUAACUAGGCACAACAACAAUGUAACAAGUAUAACAACAAAACAAAGAGAGACCUAACCACUGCACCACGACCGGUUGGAAGUGGCAUCAAUACGCACCAG